ensembl:misc_RNA Metazoa_SRP Metazoan signal recognition particle RNA
GGCAGGUGCGGUGGUGCGUGCUUGUAGUCCCAGCUACUUGGGAGGCUGAGGCUGGAGGAUCACUUGAGUCCAGGAGUUCUGGGCUGUAGUGCGCUAUGCCAAUCAGGUGUCCGCACUAAGUUCGGCAUUAAUAUGGUGACCUCCUGGGAGCGGGGGACCACCAGGUUGCCUAAGGAGUGGUAAAUCGGCCCAGGUUGGAAAUGCAGCAGGUUAAAAAUCCUGUGCUGAUCAGUAGUGGGAUCCUGCCUGUGAAUAGCCACUGCACUCCAGCCUGGGCAACAUAGUGAGACCCAAUCACUU